GACGAACGCUGGCGGCGUGCUUAACACAUGCAAGUCGAACGGAAAGGCCCUGCUUUUGUGGGGUGCUCGAGUGGCGAACGGGUGAGUAACACGUGAGUAACCUGCCCUUGACUUUGGGAUAACUUCAGGAAACUGGGGCUAAUACCGGAUAGGAGCUCCUGCUGCAUGGUGGGGGUUGGAAAGUUUCGGCGGUUGGGGAUGGACUCGCGGCUUAUCAGCUUGUUGGUGGGGUAGUGGCUUACCAAGGCUUUGACGGGUAGCCGGCCUGAGAGGGUGACCGGCCACAUUGGGACUGAGAUACGGCCCAGACUCCUACGGGAGGCAGCAGUGGGGAAUAUUGCACAAUGGGCGGAAGCCUGAUGCAGCAACUCCGCGUGCGGGAUGACGGCCUUCGGGUUGCAAACCGCUUUCGCCUGUGACGAAGCGUGAGUGACGGUAAUGGGUAAAGAAGCACCGGCUAACUACGUG
rnacentral:rRNA from 1 species